AUCCACUACUCAGUUGGUAGAGCGCAAGGCUCUUAACCUUAUGGACGUGGGUUCAAACCCCAUGGUGGAUA
rfam:Triticum aestivum genome assembly, contig: Triticum_aestivum_CS42_TGACv1_scaffold_222241_3B